UUGGAUCUCCUUACCUCAUUUAGGCUGCAAAGUCCAUUCCUGGACUUUCCUCCACAGCUGAUCUCCAGAUCUGCUUUGUUUCAAAACUAGCUCCCUGCCAAAUAUUCAAGAUCUUCCAAGCUAACACUUAAUUUUGGAGGCCUCAAAUACACAUGGGAAGGCAUCAAUUAUUUACCACCAUCAGCUCCAUCUUAGUUUUAACUUUUUGAGGCUCUGGAUAUAUGAUUUCAUCCAUAAAUGAGACCUUUAUCAGAGAAACUUGCUGCAAAGUGGACCUGUGAUUUCAAUGAUAUGGGAAAUUUCCUGAUGAGGAAACUCCAUCUAUCAAUGAAGUCUUACUAGUUUCCAAGGAGAGUAACCUGUGUAGCCCAAGGACUCCUCCCUGAAAUGAUAGAGUAAUGAUCACACUAAAAGAAAGAAGAAUUUCUUAUUAUUCCAGUUAAAGAAAGUAUCUCUUGAGCUGACAUUUGACCAUGUGGAAACAAGGAUCCUUACAGGAAGUGGUUAAAGAGAUAUUGAAUGUUUUUAGGAAAAUGAUUCUUCAAAGACCCAAAAGUUAAAUAAAUAUUGUUAUGUCUGGUACACAAAAACAUCAGCUGAACUUUCACU